rnacentral:misc_RNA from 1 species
GUCCAGCCAAGCAAAGAAUUAUACGCGAAAUUCAAACCCAAGAUCACCAAUUACAUAUAUGCUAAUUAUUAUACGAUGCUUUAUUUAAUUUUAUUAUAACAGAAAUAUUCAUGAAUAUCAAUGUAUAUAUACUCAUUCUUUCUGAGCACUGGGCCGAAUUUAUUGGCAUGGAAUCCUUCAGUACAGUGUCAAGCUGAAGCUAAUUUUCUCUGAAGGCAACCAAUUUAUGUAAUUUCAAACUGCAAGAGCAAGUGGCAAAGCAAUUUGUUUAGUAGAAAUAAAUUUUAAUGCAAAUUGUUAAAAUAAGGACGACAAACUUUCUUUAUUAGAAUUUUGUGUAUAUGUGUUUGUGAUGAUUGUAGAAGCUCACCUCUAUGCUCAAAAAUGUUGAUGUUUGGGAUGUGCCGCAACUUUGAAAGAUCAUUGCUUUCCACAUCUUUUAAACGGCCUAUUAGACUUGAAGAACCUGGGAUCACUAUUAGAGUUUGAAGAUUGGUUAAGAAUUCAAUACCUUGAGGCACCGCAUUUAAGGCCAAGCAGGAAAUGAUGCUCAACUCAUGGAUAUCUAGCAUAGCCCCCUUCUCUAUGGUUAUUGCUGUCAGUUGAGGGAAAUUCCGCAAUUGUAAAAUUUUUAGCUUAGCAAAGCCACUGCAGAAA